GGGAUAUGGAGAUUUUAUUAUUUAUAAAAAUACCAAUAAAAAGGUAUUUAUAGCGACAUAUAUAUAAUUUGUCAAUAAUAACAUAUAUUAGCGACAAAAUGUCUGUAGUUAUCUAAUUCCUUGUCACUUCAUCUGAACUAUUGUAGAAAUUGAGAGUGAGUUCAUGAUUUGAAAGAUUAUGAUUGAAAAAUUUCUGUACCAAUUAAUUAAAUCUUCUCCAAGCAUUAUAAAAGAGUUCAUUGUAUUAUUGAAUAAAACUUGUGAAGACUCGCUGAUGAAACAUCUUAAUGAUUCUCACAAGAAAAAAAAAAAGUAAAAGUAAAAUUAGACAUAUGAAAAAAUAAAAAGAAAAAAUAAACUAUAAAAAAAUAUGAAUGUCUAGAUUAAUCAAAUCACUACUCAUUUGAUAUCAAGCACCAGUCCCGAGUAACGACACUAAAAACUUAUUUGCUGGUUUACAACUCUGCAAGUUUACAGAUCGUUAACAAAUAAUAAAGUAAUGAGUAGAGUAUCAUUCCUAUGAGGACCAUGUUGAGUGCUAAACUAUAGUGAUUUUAAUUAUCUAGGCGAUCAAAUUAUAUAGAAAUAGUGAUUAAAUCUAAAUUAAAAG
rnacentral:misc_RNA from 1 species